rnacentral:rRNA from 1 species
GAUGAACGCUGGCGGUGUGCCUAAUACAUGCAAGUCGAGCGAACAGACGAGGAGCUUGCUCCUCUGACGUUAGCGGCGGACGGGUGAGUAACACGUGGAUAACCUACCUAUAAGACUGGGAUAACUUCGGGAAACCGGAGCUAAUACCGGAUAAUAUAUUGAACCGCAUGGUUCAAUAGUGAAAGACGGUUUUGCUGUCACUUAUAGAUGGAUCCGCGCCGCAUUAGCUAGUUGGUAAGGUAACGGCUUACCAAGGCAACGAUGCGUAGCCGACCUGAGAGGGUGAUCGGCCACACUGGUACUGAGACACGGUCCAGACUCCUACGGGAGGCAGCAGUAGGGAGUCUUCCGCAAUGGGCGAAAGCCUGACGGAGCAACGCCGCGUGAGUGAUGAAGGUCUUCGGAUCGUAAAACUCUGUUAUUAGGGAAGAACAAAUGUGUAAGUAACUAUGCACGUCUUGACGGUACCUAAUCAGAAAGCCACGGCUAACUACGUG